CCCAAACCGAAUCAACACUGCCGGUCUGCUUACAUCCCUUCCAACCUGGGAGCGUAAUUUCUAAGGAAAAACUGUGUCCUAUUCAUCAUCGAGUUCCUGUCCCUCGACCAGACACGAAGAAGAGGCUUCACAAGUACUUGCUCCAGAAAUGAGGGAGUCAAGCUAGAUGGAGACCAAAUACGGAAUGGAAUCUCAGGAAGAGCAUUUCUGUUCCCACCCAGUGAGGUCGACUAUCCAGUGAACAUCGCCCCUCGGCUCCCUCUGACCACAGGGAGCCCCAGGCAUGGCCAGCUCAAGGGCAAUAGCGGGUGGAAGGUGAAGGGAAGGCAGACUCGCCCAGCAAUACCACUGCCAUCUCACAGGAAAGAAAAACGAACAUGCCAAACAAGAAGUACAAGACGACACCAUACCUCUUCACUCUACCCCCUCCCGCCUAGAUGGGGUAUGAUGUACACACACUCAGUGAAUUCGCUGAAAUAUACUGAUGCACGUGCCCACUACCGCUCCCACUGGUGGCGCAGACCAUUCCACUGCACGUGGAACACUCCACUGCUGGCUGUCCCCCUGGUGCCUCAUGGCCCCUCUGCCAAUGCUGUGCUCCUGGCCCCUCGCAUCCCGGAGGCUGAGAAGCCUCCUCUGCCAAUGCUGCGGGAACGGCCCAGCUGCUGACAACUCUUCCCCACCUCCUCCACGCCCAGGCCUUGUGAGGGAUCGACAUUUGGCUAAUGGUGCACAGAUGGGUCUGGAAAUUUUACGGUGCUGGAGCUGAAAAUCCAGAGAAGGCAUUCCAGGGGGACGAUGACUGAGCCCCAAAUAAAUUAAAGAUGUGUUUAUCUACA
rnacentral:lncRNA from 1 species